ACACAGAGCAUCUUGUUGCUCAUUCUUGGACUGUCUCUUCAAGAAGACAUAUCAGGGGCUGGUUAGUUUGGUAGCUUAUUUUUCUAAGUGUUUUACAAUUUGAGACUUAUUUUUCAAAUCGUAUUUGUUUUUUUCCCAGUUUAUAUGUAAUGCAAAAAUCAAGAUGUGGUGCUUGAUAGUCUAAGAUAAAAUUUGAAUAUUUAUUGCAUCUAUUUCUUAUGAAGAAACAAUGUAUUUCUUAUGA
rnacentral:lncRNA from 1 species